UUGACCUCAAAUCGGGUGAGACUACCCGCUGAACUUAAGCAUAUCAAUAAGCGGAGGAAAAGAAACUAACAAGGAUUCCCCUAGUAACUGCGAGUGAAGCGGGAAAAGCUCAAAUUUAAAAUCUGGUGGCCUCUGGUCACCCGAGUUGUAAUUUAGAGAAGCGUCUUCCGCACUGGACCAUGCACAAGUCUCCUGGAAUGGAGCGUCAUAGAGGGUGAGAAUCCCGUCUUUGGCAUGGAUGCACCAGGGCUUUUGUGAUGCGCUCUCGAAGAGUCGAGUUGUUUGGGAAUGCAGCUCAAAAUGGGUGGUGAACUCCAUCUAAAGCUAAAUAUUGGCGAGAGACCGAUAGCGAACAAGUACCGUGAGGGAAAGAUGAAAAGCACUUUGGAAAGAGAGUGAAACAGUACGUGAAAUUGUUGAAAGGGAAACGCUUGAAGUCAGUCGCGUCGACCGAGACUCAGCCUCGCCUUGGCUUGGUGUACUUCUCGGCCGACGGGUCAGCAUCAAUUUUGCCCCUCGGAUAAUGGCAAGGGAAAGGUAGCACCUUUACAGGUGUGUUAUAGUCUCCUGUCGCAUGCGAGGGUCGGGAUUGAGGAACUCAGCACGCGCCUCUCGGCGUCGGGGCCCUUUGGCCCACGCUUACGUGCUUAGGAUGCUGGCAUAAUGGCUUUAAACGACCCGUCUUGAAACACGGACCAAGGAGUCUAACAUGCCCGCGAGUGUUCGGGUGGAAAACCCGUGCGCGUAAUGAAAGUAAAAGUUGGGACCUCCGUCGUGGGGGGCACCGACGCCCGGACCAGACCUUCUGUGACGGAUCUGCGGUAGAGCGUGUAUGUUGGGACCCGAAAGAUGGUGAACUAUGCCUGAAUAGGGUGAAGCCAGAGGAAACUCUGGUGGAGGCUCGUAGCGAUUCUGACGUGCAAAUCGAUCGUCAAAUUUGGGUAUAGGGGCGAAAGACUAAUCGAACCAUCUAGUAGCUGGUUCCUGC
rnacentral:rRNA from 1 species